GCCUGACGGGACAGACGUAGGUGGCACGCGUGCGCAAGGCAGCCGCCGCCGCCAGAGGGCGGUGGCAGUGGGUCGACUCGUCUCUGUGACCCAGUGUGUGUAUGUGUGUGGUGGCCGCCCUCCCCCAGUUCGUACGCGGUUUGAUUCACUGCUCCUAAAUACUAGAUGCUGGUGCAGGGCUUGUUGUGACACUGUGGUAUAGUGUUCUCUCGUUGCUCAAGCAAAGGGUUUUCCGCCACGGGGACCUCUCUACAGCAUUGACUGCAGGAAUGGAUGAAGGAGCUGAAAGCAAGGUCAAAUCUUAUCCGCACCUUCUUCUCCACAUCAUAGUUAUGCCCAGUUGGCGCCAUGUUGUUUAAGUUAAAGUUUGCUUCCCAAGUUCAAUUGGCCGUUUCCCUUUGAUGGUUCCCUGAAAGUUACCCGGCUUCCCCUACUGUGGACAAUGAUGUUUACAGCCCCCCCACUACCAUGAGGACCUACUUGUGAUGUGGACAUUUCCACUGCGGUGUGACCAGGAGAACCCUUCAGGUUUCCCCUGGAUGUUCUUGAAGACCCUUAACCCCUCUACAGUGGAAAGUGGCACUGACACCCCCCUUCUACCAUGACGGCUUACUAGCAAUGUGGCCCCCCCUGUGUCGUGCUGUGUUGCCCAUUAUUGUGUCCUAACACUACUUGUAACACUGUCCACCCCAAAAUCAAUUUAGUUUUACAGUAAAGAACACAUCAUUUUUUUUAAAUAUUUCAAGUUUAUUGAUUAUAGAAAGUUUAACAAUCUAUUUUGAAUUUAAAAAUAAAACAUGAAAACUUAGGUGAAGUCCUACAAGAGCCUAGAGCAGGGAUGGGGAACCAUUAGGCCCUCUAACUGUUGUGGAACUACACAGUCCAGCAUGCCUUUGCAACAGUUUUGCUUCUUGGACAUGGUAAAACUGUUGCUGGGCAUGCUGGUAUGUGUAGUUCAACAACAGCUAGCCGAGGGUUCCCCUUCCCUAAACUAUGCCAUGGGACUGCUACCUGUGGCUUUCCUACUGCUGUGGAACUGCACAUCCCAGCAUGCCCUGAUAUUAAGACAUGCUAAAACUGAGGAAGGGUGUGCUGGGAUGUGUAGUUUCACAGCAGCAGGUGGCAGUCCAAUGGCCUAGUACAGUGGUUCCUCACCUCGGUCCACAAGUACCCCAGUUCAUGUUUUCCAGGUCUCCUCACAAGUUUGCAAGUAAUAUAAUUUGCUCCUCCCGUGGGUGUUUUACAAUGUAGCAGUGAUUAAAGGAUAGAUAGAUCGAUAGAUAGGAUAAUAAGGUACAGAUUCUUGUAAAAGUGAAAUAUGAAUAUGUGCAAAUAGACAUAUGAAAUACCAAAUGUGCGAUGCAGAUAGCGUGAUGUAUUGAUCUGAGGAUAUGAGCAUAUAGUAUAUAAUGUCUAUGUGAAUUAUAUGAGCAUAAGUGAAGGUCUCUCUGAUAGACAGCAAUGGUGGAAUUGGACACCAUUGUGUAUGAGGAUAUUUAACUAUCUUUUCAUUGUAAUAGGAGUGUUUUAACUGAAGAACCUCCAACCUACAUGGUAUCUAUCUUUUUUUAGAGAGACUUUUGUAUGAUAUAGACAGAGUAUAACUGCCUCAGCUGUUUUCCAGAAACUAUUUAUUUCAAUAAAAACCCUGGAAAAACGUGUGGAAAA